rnacentral:rRNA from 1 species
UGGGGAAUAUUGCACAAUGGGCGAAAGCCUGAUCCAGCAACGCCGCGUGAGGGAUGACGGCCUUCGGGUUGUAAACCUCUUUCAGUACCGACGAAGCGCAAGUGACGGUAGGUACAGAAGAAGCACCGGCCAACUACGUGCCAGCAGCCGCGGUAAUACGUAGGGUGCGAGCGUUGUCCGGAAUUACUGGGCGUAAAGAGCUCGUAGGUGGUUUGUCGCGUUGUUCGUGAAAACUCACAACUCAAUUGUGGGCGUGCGGGCGAGUACGGGCGAGACUGGAGUACGUGCAGGGGAGACUGGAAUUCCGUGGUGUAGCGGUGGAAUGCGCAGAUAUCAGGAGGAACACCGGUGGCGAAGGCGGGUCUCU